rnacentral:lncRNA from 1 species
AAAACCUGGUGCCGCUUAGGAGAAACACAGCAGGCUGUGCGCAGAGCAGGAGAGCCAGCGCGCAGCUCCCGAGGAGAGGCGGUGACCAGCCUGGCGCUUGGGCCGCCGGCCCGUCUGCGGGCAGCGCUGAAGGCCACCGGAGCUGACCUUGGACCACGACGCCGUGGCUCUCCACCACGUGUCACGACGAGGGACAAGUGGACUCCUCUACUGAAAUUAAAGCCCGACCAGCUGUAAGAGGAACAUUCACGCUCCGCCUGGAAAGAUCAGCGGCUGCUUCCAGCGAGGCGCAGCCUGGUAGUAAAGCCCCCCAGGUGAAGGGAGACGCCGCUGCGGGGUGGGUAGGCGGUUAGCACCUGCCGCGGCCGACAGGACGCGGGGAC